GGGGCGGUAGGUUAAUGGUAAACCAAUUCCUUGCGAGGGUUUUAAUCCGGGUUCGAAACCCGGCCGCUCCA
rnacentral:tRNA from 1 species